AUCUGCAAUAGUGACAGUUUUACUUCUUCCUUAUCAGUUUGGAUGCCUUUGAUUUCUUUUUCCUGUCUGACUGCUACAGCUAGGACUACCAAUAUAUGGUGAAUAAAAAUAGCAUGAGUGGGCAUCCUUGUCUUAUUCCUAAUCUCAGAAGAAAAGCUUUCAACUUUUCCCCAUGGAGUAAUAGGGUAGGUGUGGGUAUAUCUGAAAUGGCCUUGAUUACACUGAGGCAUGUUCCCUCUAAACCCACUUCACUGGUAAUUUUUAUCAUGAACAGAUGUAUUUUGUCGAAUGUUUUUUCUGUGUGAUUUUUAUCAUUUAUUUUGUUAAUGGUGGUCUAUCAUACUGAUUGAUUUGUGGAUACUGAACCACACUUGUAUCUCUAAAAUCUGACUUGAUCAUGGUGAAUGAUCCUUUUAGUAUAUUGUUGAAUUCCAUUUACUGUUUUAUGGAAGAUUUUUGCUUCUCUGUUCAUCAGAUACUGGCCUUAAUUUUCAUAAUCAUUAUAUUUUAACUGCUGCAAUCUUACAAUAAAACUUUAAUCGGUGAAGAGUUGCUGCUUAUGGAUGAGCAAAGAAAGUCGUUAAUUUUAGAUGGAAUCUUCUCUUGGUAAAGAUGCUGUGAAGAUUCAGCAGUGGCAACAAAGGGUUUAGAAUAUUACAUAAACUUAGUUAAAAAGCAGCGGCAGGCUUUGAGAAAAUUGACUAUUGAAAUAGAACUGUCGAACAGCAUCACAACAGAGAAACCUGAAUGGAAGACUUAGCCACAACCAGUCCAAACUUCAGCAGCCACCACCCUGAUCAGCCAGCUGCCAUCAACUUGGAGGCAAGACCUUCCACCAGCGGAAAAGAUUACAACUAGCUGAAAGCUGAGAUGAUGGCUAGCAUUUUUAGAAAUACGGUAUUUUUUAAUUAAGGAGCCCUGGACUCAGAUGACAGGCAGGAGUGAGGAUGUGAAGAGGGGCUACUGACAGUAAAGACUCGUGGCCUAGCAUUCCCUGUGACCAAAACAGGUUCUUCACAUGCACAUUUUCCUCAGGAAAAGUGGAGGAGAACGGGAUUUUCCAAUAAAGCCUGAA